AUUCCUCAAGGUUCAUCCAUGUCUUCACAAGUAUAGUGUCUGUUCUUAUCAGUUUAAUAUCUGAUACNUCCUCUAUUCAAGAUAAUGUAUUAAAUGGAUUUUUAGAGCUGGGAGAUGGAAUAGGAGUUUGCUCUCUCCACUCCACACAUUGAUUGGGUAUCAUCAGGAAGGUUAUACCCCAUUUGGGGGACAUGGA
rnacentral:snRNA from 1 species